CACGCGCCUCCAGAUGGGCCGCGACCGCUUCCUGCAGGAGGUCUGGGCCUGGAAACAACAGAAGGGCGACCGGAUCUACCAGCAGCUGAAGAGCUUGGGGACGUCCCUGGACUGGGACCGCGCCUGUUUCACCAUGGACCC